rnacentral:rRNA from 1 species
AUGGUCCUUAGGGAUAUUAGGGAUCUGUUGCAAUCCAUGGGAAAGAAUAUUAAACACUAUGGACUUCCGGAUCUGGUUGACGCAGAUGGUUCUUUUGACGUUGAGAAUAGAGAGGUAACAGAGGAGAGAGAGGUCACGGUGGACCAAGAACAUCUAGAUCUAUUUAGUUGUUUGAACAAUGAGCAACUAGCUGGUUUCAAUGACAUAAUGGAGCAUGUGACGAACCAGAAAAGCCAGAUUUUCUUCGUUGAUGGCCCAGGAGGCACUGGGAAGACGUACCUGUACAAGGCAUUGCUUGCGAAGGUCCGUUCGAUGGGCCUAAUAGCGAUCGCAACUGCUACAUCAGGUAUUGCAGCAUCGAUAAUGCCUGGAGGUCGGACUGCACACUCCAGAUUCAAAAUUCCAAUCAAGCUGACUGACAACAGCAUGUGUAGCUUCACAAAGUAG